rnacentral:rRNA from 1 species
GCAGUCGAGCGGUAACAUUUCAAAGCUUGCUUUGAAGAUGACGAGCGGCGGACGGGUGAGUAAUGCUUGGGAAUAUGCCUUAUGGUGGGGGACAACAGUUGGAAACGACUGCUAAUACCGCAUAAUGUCUACGGACCAAAGGGGGGGAUCUUCGGACCUCUCGCCAUUUGAUUAGCCCAAGUGAGAUUAGCUAGUUGGUGAGGUAAUGGCUCACCAAGGCGACGAUCUCUAGCUGGUUUGAGAGGAUGAUCAGCCACACUGGGACUGAGACACGGCCCAGACUCCUACGGGAGGCAGCAGUGGGGAAUAUUGCACAAUGGGCGCAAGCCUGAUGCAGCCAUGCCGCGUGUGUGAAGAAGGCCUUCGGGUUGUAAAGCACUUUCAGUAAGGAGGAAAGGGAUGUAGUUAAUAGCUGCAUUCUGUGACGUUACUUACAGAAGAAGCACCGGCUAACUUCGUGCCAGCAGCCGCGGUAAUACGAGGGGUGCAAGCGUUAAUCGGAAUUACUGGGCGUAAAGCGUUCGUAGGCGGUUGAUUAAGCAAGAUGUGAAAGCCCAGGGCUCAACCUUGGAACUGCAUUUUGAACUGGUCAACUAGAGUACUGUAGAGGGUGGUGGAAUUUCC